CCUACGGGAGGCUGCAGUGGGGAAUAUUGCGCAAUGGGCGAAAGCCUGACGCAGCGACGCCGCGUGAGGGAUGAAGGUCUUCGGAUCGUAAACCUCUGUCAGCAGGGAAGAACGGUCACUGUGCUAAUCAGCAGUGAAUUGACGGUACCUGCAAAGGAAGCACCGGCUAACUCCGUGCCAGCAGCCGCGGUAAUACGGAGGGGGCGAGCGUUAAUCGGAAUUACUGGGCGUAAGGGGCUCGUAGGCGGUAUGUCAAGUCAAGGGGGAAAUCCCCGCGCUCAACGUGGGAACUGCCUUUGAAACGGGCAAACUGGAGUGUGGGAGAGGAUAGUGGAAUUCCAGGUGUAGGGGUGAAAUCCGUAGAUAUCUGGAGGAACAUCAGUGGCGAAGGCGACUAUCUGGCACAUAACUGACGCUGAGGAGCGAAAGCGUGGGUAGCAAACAGGAUUAGAUACCCGAGUAGUC
rnacentral:rRNA from 1 species